AGAGUUUGAUCCUGGCUCAGGACGAACGCUGGCGGCGUGCCUAAUACAUGCAAGUAGAACGCUGAAGGAGGAGCUUGCUUCUCUGGAUGAGUUGCGAACGGGUGAGUAACGCGUAGGUAACCUGCCUGGUAGCGGGGGAUAACUAUUGGAAACGAUAGCUAAUACCGCAUAAGAGUGGAUGUUGCAUGACAUUUGCUUAAAAGGUGCACUUGCAUCACUACCAGAUGGACCUGCGUUGUAUUAGCUAGUUGGUGGGGUAACGGCUCACCAAGGCGACGAUACAUAGCCGACCUGAGAGGGUGAUCGGCCACACUGGGACUGAGACACGGCCCAGACUCCUACGGGAGGCAGCAGUAGGGAAUCUUCGGCAAUGGACGGAAGUCUGACCGAGCAACGCCGCCUGAGUGAAGAAGGUUUUCGGAUCGUAAAGCUCUGUUGUAAGAGAAGAACGAGUGUGAGAGUGGAAAGUUCACACUGUGACGGUAUCUUACCAGAAAGGGACGGCUAACUACGUGCCAGCAGCCGCGGUAAUACGUAGGUCCCGAGCGUUGUCCGGAUUUAUUGGGCGUAAAGCGAGCGCAGGCGGUUAGAUAAGUCUGAAGUUAAAGGCUGUGGCUUAACCAUAGUAGGCUUUGGAAACUGUUUAACUUGAGUGCAAGAGGGGAGAGUGGAAUUCCAUGUGUAGCGGUGAAAUGCGUAGAUAUAUGGAGGAACACCGGUGGCGAAAGCGGCUCUCUGGCUUGUAACUGACGCUGAGGCUCGAAAGCGGGGGGAGCAAACAGGAUUAGAUACCCUGGUAGUCCACGCUGUAAACGAUGAGUGCUAGGUGUUAGACCCUUUCCGGGGUUUAGUGCCGUAGCUAACGCAUUAAGCACUCCGCCUGGGGAGUACGACCGCAAGGUUGAAACUCAAAGGAAUUGACGGGGGCCCGCACAAGCGGGGAGCAUGUGGUUUAAUUCGAAGCAACGCGAAGAACCUUACCAGGUCUUGACAUCCCUCUGACCGCUCUAGAGAUAGAGCUUUCCUUCGGGACAGAGGUGACAGGUGGUGCAUGGUUGUCGUCAGCUCGUGUCGUGAGAUGUUGGGUUAAGUCCCGCAACGAGCGCAACCCCUAUUGUUAGUUGCCAUCAUUUAGUUGGGCACUCUAGCGAGACUGCCGGUAAUAAACCGGAGGAAGGUGGGGAUGACGUCAAAUCAUCAUGCCCCUUAUGACCUGGGCUACACACGUGCUACAAUGGCUGGUACAACGAGUCGCAAGCCGGUGACGGCAAGCUAAUCUCUUAAAGCCAGUCUCAGUUCGGAUUGUAGGCUGCAACUCGCCUACAUGAAGUCGGAAUCGCUAGUAAUCGCGGAUCAGCACGCCGCGGUGAAUACGUUCCCGGGCCUUGUACACACCGCCCGUCACACCACGAGAGUUUGUAACACCCGAAGUCGGUGAGGUAACCGUAAGGAGCCAGCCGCCUAAGGUGGGAUAGAUGAUUGGGGUGAAGUCGUAACAAGGUAGCCGUAUCGGAAGGUGCGGCUGGAUCACCU
rnacentral:rRNA from 1 species